GAUGAACGCUGACAGAAUGCUUAACACAUGCAAGUCGAUUCGAUUUACCUUCGGGUAUUGAGGAUGGCGGACGGGUGAGUAACGCGUAAGGAACUUGCCUCUUGGUCUGGGACAACUGUUGGAAACGACAGCUAAUACCGGAUAUUAUGAGAUUCUCGCAUGGGAAACUUAUGAAAGCUAUAUGCGCCAAGAGAGAGCCUUGCGUUCCAUUAGCUAGUUGGUGGGGUAACGGCCCACCAAGGCGACGAUGGAUAGCCGGCCUGAGAGGGUGAACGGCCACAAGGGGACUGAGACACGGCCCUUACUCCUACGGGAGGCAGCAGUGGGGAAUAUUGGACAAUGGGCCACAAGCCUGAUCCAGCAAUUCUGUGUGCACGAUGAAGGUCUUCGGAUUGUAAAGUGCUUUCAGUUGGGAAGAAGAAAGUGACGGUACCAACAGAAGAAGCGACGGCUAAAUACGUGCCAGCAGCCGCGGUAAUACGUAUGUCGCAAGCGUUAUCCGGAUUUAUUGGGCGUAAAGCGCGUCUAGGCGGAAAAAUAAGUCUGAUGUUAAAAUGCGGGGCUCAACUCCGUAUUGCGUUGGAAACUGUUUUUCUAGAGUACUGGAGAGGUGGGCGGAACUACAAGUGUAGAGGUGAAAUUCGUAGAUAUUUGUAGGAAUGCCGAUGGAGAAGUCAGCUCACUGGACAGAUACUGACGCUAAAGCGCGAAAGCGUGGGGAGCAAACAGGAUUAGAUACCCUGGUAGUCCACGCCGUAAACGAUGAUCACUAGGNG
rnacentral:rRNA from 1 species